UCGGAGGCAGCCACAAUUAUCUUACGGGAGGCACCGUAGGGGAUUAUUGACAAGGGGAAAGCCUGAUCCAGACAUGCGGGUGGUGUGAAGAAGGCUCUUCGGUUGUAAAGCUCUGUAUUAUGGGAGGAACGGGCAUGAGAGUAUACGUGAGACUGUGACGUACUGACGAAUAGACGUCC
rnacentral:rRNA from 1 species